CGCUGCUCCGCACUCUCGGUGGAUCCGGAGGGGCGCUGCUCCGCGCUCUCCGUGGGACCGGAGGGGCGCUGCUCGGCGCUCUGGACGUGGAUGCUCGCCACGCAGAGAGGAGCUGGGGGUGAGGCCGCCGCGGGCUCGCAGCCUCCACUCAGGGCCGCUGCACUGAAGAAAUGAGUGGUGGCUUGGCUCCAAGUAAGAGCACGGUUUAUGUAUCCAACUUGCCCUUCUCCCUGACGAACAAUGAUUUAUACAGGAUAUUUUCCAAGUAUGGCAAAGUUGUGAAGGUUACUAUAAUGAAAGACAAAGACACGAGGAAGAGUAAAGGUGUUGCAUUUAUUUUGUUUUUGGAUAAAGACUCUGCCUUAAACUGCACCAGAGCAAUAAAUAACAAACAGUUAUUUGGUAGAGUGAUAAAGGCAAGCAUUGCUAUUGAUAAUGGAAGAGCAGCUGAGUUCAUCCGACGGCGAAACUACUUUGAUAAAUCUAAGUGUUAUGAGUGUGGGGAAAGCGGACACUUAAGUUAUGCCUGUCCUAAAAACAUGCUUGGAGAACGUGAGCCUCCCAAGAAGAAAGAAAAGAAGAAAAAGAAGAAAGUUCCUGAACCAGAAGAAGAGGUCGAGGAAGUCGAAGUGAGUGAAGAAGAAGGAGAAGAUCCGGCUCUGGACAGUCUCAGUCAGGCCAUAGCGUUUCAGGUAUUGAUGUUCUCAAGGGAUCAGUGGUGCCUGGGGACCUAGCUCAGUGAACCAUAUGAGCCUAGGAAUUCAAGACCCGCCUGAAGAAACUUUGUACAAGCCAAGAUUGAAGAGGAGCAAAACAGAUGGAGAGCCAGUCCAGGGGGUCCCUCAGCCUCCGAUGAUUCCAGACGACCAAGGAUAAAGAAAAGCACAUAUUUCAGUGAUGAAGAAGAACUUAGUGAUUAAAAUUGUAUUUAUUUUGUAAAUAUUAUUCAAAUAAAAUCUUACUGUACAAAAUGC